AGAUGAUGAAAUAUAGCCUGUGAAUGAUAUUUCAAGUAUGGAAAUGUGUCCCUCCACUUGAAUAUUUAUUUUCAUUAAGUCGUGUUUCUCAAUUCGUUUUAUUUUAAAUCGAAAGUGGUUUCUUUAAUUGAUUUUUUUUAGAAUUUAUCAAAUCACCCCAAAAUAUAUGGAAAAAUUAGCAUUUGUUAAUAUGAAGUCUAGCUAGCUACUCACUAAGUAUUAUAAUAGAACAAAUCAUCAUCAAGGAUUAAUUACGCUAUCUAACACCUAGAAUGACUAAAUUGCAAAACUGUCAAAAGUGCAAAAAUAACAUUUCAAUGGGAAAAAGUGGUCGAUUGACUUCCAUGUUGCGAGUUAAUUCUUGGACUAGGGAUCUAAAAGGUUCAAACUCCUAAUUGGUUCAAUUUUACCUCUCAGGCAUAAUUUUACCCAAUUAGACGAUUUAGUCUAGUUUAUUUCUCGAUCUCACUAAACUAAAUCGGAACAAUCAAAUUGAUUCUCAAUAGGCUCUCCUCUUGGUCUCACUUAUCUAAAUGUUCACCUAGAGGCGUCAAAUCUAGAUUUUUAAAUUUAUUCGAUUUAGUCUAGUUUUACAAUUUAGUCCCUACCUGAAAAACUAGCAAUGCAACAUUUCUAUUAACUAAGCACCAUGAGAUUUAGUUAUUACCCAUCAUCAACACACAAAUAUCAGUCAAAUACAUGCUCAAAUGAUCAAUUAAAUAAAACAUAAAAAAAGCAAGGUUAGGAAAAUCUUAAGAGACUCUUGAUGAGUUCUUUGGAGAAGAUGACAACACCAACAAUGAAGAAGAAAACACAACUAAAGUUUAAAUUUUUACAAUUUUGAGAGUUAAAAAAGCGGAAAUAUAGUAAAGGAUGUAAAGAGAAAUCAAAAUACAAAGUAAAGUUUUUGUUCUAAGUGCAAAGAAAGGAAAAACUACAGUAAAAACUAAGAAAACUAUCAGCUACAACCACUCAUUAGCUGAGAAAAGUAAAGAACUAAAACCUAAAAAUGGAGAAGAGUAUAACUACUAAGCUUAAAAGAUGAUAAAAAGGUCUCUCCUCUUGGUUUGACACAAAAGCAUAUUUUGUACAACCAAAAUUCAACCCUAAACUUGACAAAAAUGCCCUUGGAGUGUAUGGGUUGACUUGUGUUUGUGUUGGAUAUAAAACUACAUUUGUAGUAUUUUUCACCCCGUCAAGCAACAGUGUCGCGACACCUUCGACAAUGACACACUCUUGGCUUUAGGGUUCUCUAUGUCACGACAUCCUUGGGAGUGACCAUGACUUUUUACUUCAACAAUCAACAGUAGUAUUGCGACCUUGGAGGCUUGGUGUCACAACUUUGGGUUUAGUGUCAAGACACCUCGACAAUUUGCUUCAAGUUGGUUUCUUGUUGAAGUCUUGCACCCCUGAGGUAGUGGAGGCUUAGUGUCGCGACAUCCUAGCAUUAAUGUCGUGACACCGGCGUCAGAUGUAGUUCUCCUCAAGGUUUGAUUGUUGUUGUCUUCCUACACAAACUCAAUUGCACUAUUAGACACCCAAUGAGACAAUUUUGCCAAAUUGGGUUUCAAAAGGACUAAAAAAACUAAAGGAAAACAAUCAUAAAUACUAAAAAUUGAAAAUCAAAGAAAAUCAUAGAAAAAACUCGUAAAUUGCUUAAGAACAAACUCAUUAAGUGUUCUAGAGAGUCUAAUUUGAUGUAUCAAAUUAUGACAGAUCAUAUACACGUGCCAUGUCAGCAAAGUUAACAAACGUUAACUUUUCCAUCCAUUUUAGGUGAUUUGACAAUUGCACAAGUUGAAGCAACACAUUCACUUUUCUAUCCAUUUUGAGUCAGUCGAUGAAGUUGACAUAGUUGGUUUUCAUCAUAGCCUUGACCAUUUCAGUGGAUGAAGCAAUGAUGAUGGGGAAUUACCUGAAUUUAAGUUGUGUGAUAGAGUCAUAUUUUCGGAAGAGGGCAUGGAUGGACUAGUGAAGAAGUGAGCCGAUGAGGUUGAGGUUGUUGAUUAUCAACCAGGGUUUUGGAUCGGGUGAUAAAUUAAGUUUCUGGAGAUGACAGAAGUGAAGGGAGAGGACGAUGAGAGUUAGAGCGGCAGGCCAUGGAGUCAAGUAAGAAACCAAAGAGGAAAUUUCCA
rnacentral:lncRNA from 1 species